rnacentral:rRNA from 1 species
AACGAACGCUGGCGGCAUGCCUAACACAUGCAAGUCGAACGAGACCUUCGGGACUAGUGGCGCACGGGUGCGUCGCGCGUCGGAACCUGCCCUUAGGUUCGGAAUAACUCUCCGACAGGGGUGCUAAUACCGGAUAAUGUCUUCGGACCAAAGAUUUAUCGACUUUGGAUGGGCCCGCGUUGUAUUAGCUUGUUGGUAGGGUAAAAGCCUACCACGGCGACGAUCCAUAGCUGGUCAGAGAGGAUGAUCAGCCACACUGGGACGAGGACACGGCCCAGACUCCUACGGGAGGCAGCAGUGGGGAAUAUUGGACAAUGGGGGAAAGCCUGAUCCAGCAAUGCCGCGUGAGUGAUGAAGGCCUGAGGGUUGUAAAGCUCUUUUACCCGGGAUGAUAAUGACAGUACCGGGAGAAUAAGCUCCGGCUAACUCCGUG